rnacentral:rRNA from 1 species
GAGGCGGUUGCCGCUCGCUGGAUCUCUUCCCGCUCUUUCCCUCAUCGCGCCAUGUCUGCAGUUGACUCGUGGCACUUCUGUGCCAAGCUUGCCCGCUAAUUCAUGAAAGGGUGGGGUGCCAACCUUGGCCGGGAUCUUCGAGAGCGAAAAAAGGCCCUCCUGCUGGCUAUUCAAGCUCUGGAUGCCCGUGCUGACACGUCCGGAAUCUCCCCGGAUGAGUGGAUGUUGCGAUAUGACCUUGAAGACCAGCUCUCAACCAUCUACACUGAUGAAGAGGCCUACUGGCGUCUGCGUGGUACCCAGCGGUGGGUACUUCGGGGCGAUGCCAACACCGCCUAUUUCCAGGCGGUGGCGAACGGCCGCCGGCACCGAAACUCCAUCCACUGCCUUUAGGAUGGAGAUACGCCUCUCGUUCGCCCCUCGGCCAUUCGUACCCAUGUA